UACGGAGGAUGCAAGCGUUAUCCGGAAUUAUUGGGCGUAAAGCGUCCGCAGGUGGCACUUCAAGUCUGUCGUCAAAGACCGGGGCUUAACCCUGGAAAGGCGAUGGAAACUGAAAGGCUAGAGAGAGGUAGGGGUAGAGGGAAUUCCCAGUGUAGCGGUGAAAUGCGUAGAGAUUGGGAAGAACAUCGGUGGCGAAAGCGCUCUACUGGACCUCAUCUGACACUCAGGGACGAAAGCUAGGGGAGCGAAAGGG
rnacentral:rRNA from 1 species